rnacentral:rRNA from 1 species
UGGGGAAUCUUGCACAAUGGGGGAAACCCUGAUGCAGCGACGCCGCGUGAGCGAUGAAGGUUUUCGAAUCGUAAAGCUCUGUCCUAUGGGAAGAUAAUGACGGUACCAUAGGAGGAAGCCCCGGCUAACUACGUGCCAGCAGCCGCGGUAAUACGUAGGGGGCGAGCGUUGUCCGGAAUUACUGGGCGUAAAGGGUUCGCAGGCGGCAUGACAAGUCCGAUGUAAAAGGUGAAAGCUCAACUUUCGUAAGCAUCGGAAACUGUCAAGCUUGAGUGAAGGAGAGGCAAGUGGAAUUCCUAGUGUAGCGGUGGAAUGCGUAGAUAUUAGGAGGAAUACCGGUGGCGAAGGCGACUUGCUGGACUUCAACUGACGCUGAGGAACGAAAGCGUGGGUAGCAAACAGG